CAAGGAAUCGUGCACAAUGGGCGAAAGCCUGAUGCCGCGACGCCGCGUGAGGGAUGACGGCUUUCGAGUUGUAAACCUCUUUUCUCAGGGAAGAGAGAGGACAUCACCUGAGGAAUAAGUCACGGCUAACUACGUGCCAGCAGCCGCGGUAACACGUAGGUGGCAAGCGUUGUCCGGAAUUACUGGGCGUAAAGGGUCCGUAGGCGGUUUGGUAAGUCUUCUGUGAAAGCUCCAGGCUCAACUUGGAGUCGUCGGGAGAAACUGCUGAACUAGAGACUGUCAGAGGCAGGUGGAAUUCCCGGUGUAGUGGUGAAAUACGUAGAUAUCGGGAGGAACACCAGUGGCGAAAGCGGCCUGCUGGGGCAGUUCUGACGCUAAGGGACUAAAGCGUGGGGAGCGAACCGGAUUAGAUACCCCCGUAGUCC
rnacentral:rRNA from 1 species